GAGGAUGUAACUCAGAUGGACAGAGUGCUUGCUUCCGAGACAAGUGGUCACAGGUACUGCUAUCUCUUUCAGAGACGCUUCGCGAACGCGGAAGCAAGCUACGAUCCCUGUCAUCCUCG
rnacentral:tRNA from 1 species